AUUGAACGCUGGCGGCAUGCUUUACACAUGCAAGUCGAACGGCAGCGCGGGCUUCGGCCUGGCGGCGAGUGGCGAACGGGUGAGUAAUACAUCGGAACGUGUCCAGCUGUGGGGGAUAGCUCGGCGAAAGCCGGAUUAAUACCGCAUACGACCUGAGGGUGAAAGCGGGGGAGCUUCGGACCUUGCGCUAUUGGAGCGGUCGAUGCCGGAUUAGCUAGUUGGUGGGGUAAAGGCCUACCAAGGCGACGAUCUGUAGCUGGUCUGAGAGGACGACGAGCCACACUGGGACUGAGACACGGCCCAGACUCCUACGGGAGGCAGCAGUGGGGAAUUUUGGACAAUGGGCGAAAGCCUGAUCCAGCAAUGCCGCGUGUGUGAUGAAGGCCUUCGGGUUGUAAAGCCCUUUUGGCGGGAACGAAAAGGACCGUGCCAAUACCACGCUUCGAUGACGGUACCCGCAGAAUAAGCACCGGCUAACUACGUG
rnacentral:rRNA from 1 species